rnacentral:snoRNA from 1 species
AGACCGUGGUGUGGAUAGCAUCUCAACAAGUCCUUGUACCUUUCCCAAGCAUUGUACAUGCUCUCGUCAUCCAUCUGCACAAAAGAAGAAAUGCCAUUUCUCAAUUU